GUGGGGAAUAUUGGACAAUGGGGGGAACCCUGAUCCAGCCAUGCCGCGUGUGUGAAGAAGGCCUUUUGGUUGUAAAGCACUUUAAGCGAGGAGGAGGCUACCGAGAUUAAUACUCUUGGAUAGUGGACGUUACUCGCAGAAUAAGCACCGGCUAACUCUGUGCCAGCAGCCGCGGUAAUACAGAGGGUGCAAGCGUUAAUCGGAUUUACUGGGCGUAAAGCGCGCGUAGGUGGCCAAUUAAGUCAAAUGUGAAAUCCCCGAGCUUAACUUGGGAAUUGCAUUCGAUACUGGUUGGCUAGAGUAUGGGAGAGGAUGGUAGAAGUCCAGGUGUAGCGAUGAAAUGCGUAGAGAUCUGGAGGAAUACCGAUGGCGAAGGCAGCCAUCUGGCCUAAUACUGACACUGAGGUGCGAAAGCAUGGGGAGCAAACAGGAUUAGAAACCCCGGUAGUCC
rnacentral:rRNA from 1 species